rnacentral:rRNA from 1 species
GACGAACGCUGGCGGCGUGCUUAACACAUGCGAGUCGAACGGAAAGGCCCUGCUUGGAGGGUACUCGAGUGGCGAACGGGUGAGUAACACGUGGGUGAUCUGCCCUGCACUUCGGGAUAAGCCUGGGAAACUGGGUCUAAUACCGGAUAGGAGCCAUUUUUAGUGUGAUGGUUGGAAAGUUUUUUCGGUGUAGGAUGAGCUCGCGGCCUAUCAGCUUGUUGGUGGGGUAAUGGCCUACCAAGGCGGCGACGGGUAGCCGGCCUGAGAGGGUGGACGGCCACAUUGGGACUGAGAUACGGCCCAGACUCCUACGGGAGGCAGCAGUGGGGAAUAUUGCACAAUGGGCGCAAGCCUGAUGCAGCGACGCCGCGUGGGGGAUGACGGCCUUCGGGUUGUAAACUCCUUUCGCUAGGGACGAAGCUUUUUGUGACGGUACCUAGAUAAGAAGCACCGGCUAACUACGUG